rnacentral:rRNA from 1 species
GACGAACGCUGGCGGCGUGCUUAACACAUGCAAGUCGAACGAUGACGCCCGAGCUUGCUCGGUCUGAUUAGUGGCGAACGGGUGAGUAACACGUGAGCAACCUGCCCUUCACUCUGGGAUAACCUCGGGAAAUCGGGGCUAAUACCGGGUAUGAGCUCCUGUCGCAUGGCGGGUGUUGGAAAGUUUUUCGGUGAAGGAUGGGCUCGCGGCCUAUCAGUUUGUUGGUGAGGUAGUGGCUCACCAAGGCGAUGACGGGUAGCCGGCCUGAGAGGGCGACCGGCCACACUGGGACUGAGACACGGCCCAGACUCCUACGGGAGGCAGCAGUGGGGAAUAUUGCACAAUGGGCGAAAGCCUGAUGCAGCGACGCCGCGUGAGGGAUGACGGCCUUCGGGUUGUAAACCUCUUUCAGCAGGGAAGAAGCGAAAGUGACGGUACCUGCAGAAGAAGCGCCGGCUAACUACGUG